rnacentral:rRNA from 1 species
UACGUAGGGCGCAAGCGUUGUCCGGAAUUAUUGGGCGUAAAGAGCUCGUAGGCGGCUUGUCACGUCGGGUGUGAAAGCCCGGGGCUUAACCCCGGGUCUGCAUUCGAUACGGGCUAGCUAGAGUGUGGUAGGGGAGAUCGGAAUUCCUGGUGUAGCGGUGAAAUGCGCAGAUAUCAGGAGGAACACCGGUGGCGAAGGCGGAUCUCUGGGCCAUUACUGACGCUGAGGCACGAAGGUCAGGGGAGCAAACGGG